GCUCCAAUAGCGUAUAUUUAAGUUGUUUGCAGUUAAAAAGCUCGUAGUUGGAUUCGGGCGUGGAAGUUCGGUCCGCCGUUUCGGUGUGCACUGUUGUUCUGCGUCUUUCUGCCGGGGACGCGCUUCUGGCCUUAAUUGGCUGGGACGUGGAUUCGGCGUGGUUACUUUGAAAAAAUUAGAGUGUUCAAGCAAGCUAAAGC
rnacentral:rRNA from 1 species